CAGCCGCCGUGGUAAUACCGGCGGCCCGAGUGGCGGCCACUAUUAUUGGGCUUAAAGCGUCCGUAGCCGGGUUGGUUAGUCUCCCGGGAAAUCUGGCCGCUUAACGGUCAGAAUUCCGGGAGAUACUGCCAGCCUAGGGACCGGGAGAGGCCGAGGGUAUUCCCGGAGUAGGGGUGAAAUCCUAUAAUCCCGGGAGGACCACCUGUGGCGAAGGCGCUCGGCUGGAACGGGUCCGACGGUGAGGGACGAAGGCCAGGGGAGCAAACCGGAUUAGAUACCCGGGUAGUCCUGGCUGUAAACGAUGCGGACUUUGUGUCGGACAAGCUAUGAGCUUGUCCGGUGCCGGAGGGAAACCGUUAAGUCCGCCGCCUGGGGAGUACGGCCGCAAGGCUGAAACUUAAAGGAAUUGGCGGG
rnacentral:rRNA from 1 species